CUUUUUUUUUUUCCCUUUUUUUUCUUUUUUUAAGUGUAAAAGUCUAACAGAUACAAACAAAAAGGGCUUGCUGAAUUCCAAAGUGUGUGUGGGGGGGGAGUAGAGAACAAUGAGGGUAGACCUAUCCCAGUCUUAUAACAUUUUGAGUUGACACAAAUUUAAAAAGAAGAAGGAGGAGGAGGAGGAAGAUAAGGAGGAGGAGGAAUUUCUGCUGUGGUGCAGUGGGUUAAGAAUCCAACGGUAGUGGCUCAGAUUGCUGCAGAGGCAUGGGUUUGAUCCCUAGCCCAGCAUAGUGGGUUAAAGGAUCUGGCACUGUCACAGCUUCAUUGGAGUUCGCAGCUGCAGCUAGGAUUCAAUCCCUGGCCUGGUGGAACUUGCAUAUAUCGCAGAUGCAGCCAUAAAGAAAAGAAGAAGAUGAAAAAAAAAACCUCCUACAAGCAUCUUGAGGCAGAAUUCAGACUGAUAUCCAAAUUCACCACUCCCACAGUAAAUAUCAGAGAACCAGGUAACAAUCUACAGCUUCAUUGAUCUGUGAAGGCAACAAAGAAACAUUGUCAGAUACUCAUAGGCUUUAUAAUAUAUACCAACUACAUCCUUUUGAAAAGUUACAUGUUGAUAUACAUUAAUUCGCCAAUAUAGUAUUUUAAAAGAGAUGAAUUCAUAAACUGAAUGGAUUGGCAUUUUCCCCCUCCCUUUUAGAAAUCGAUUCAAAGGAAAUAAAUCACAUUGCAAAAAAAUAUGUGUGAAAUAUGUUCUCUGCAAUAUUAUAUGUUAGUCAAAUAUUAGAAAUAACCUAAUUUUCCCUAAGAAGACCACGAGGUGUUAAAAUGAUCAAUGAAAAGGAAUUAAAUGAUGUAGAAAAAUCAUUUCUCACUUUUCAUUUUGUAUGCUCUCAGUUACAUAAGACCAAGACAUUGAUCAUUUUUUGGAGGGGAAAAAAAUCAUUUUAGUUAUGUCUGGGGAGAGAAGAUGAUGGAUAUUUGUCUGCUUUUUCAUAUAGUUUUCAUUCUUUAUAAACAUUUUUCGGCAAACAUAAGAAUUUUGCAGCAUUGGAAAAAAAAAAGAGUAGUAGGGAUUGAAACUUUCAAAUUUAAUUUGGGGUGAAUUUUAGGAAAUCAGACAUCUGCAGAUAGUUCAAGGUGGUUAUAGCCUUGAGACUUCUUGCAUUAGCCUGUAAAAGUUUAAGCAGUAUAGGUGUGCCACGGCCACAGGCCACGGGUCUCAUGCCUGAAUGAUCCUGGGAGCCAAGUUAGCUUUGGCCACUAAGCUUGGAAGAAAAUGUUCUUCUCUUGAAAUAUUUGCUAUGCUCCCCUUCCAUGCUUCAUUUUUUUUUUUUUUUUCUCUUCUAACUGAAUUGGAACGUUGACUGUAGUUUCCUUCAACCUUGCAAUUUCUUCAAACCCUUUGGAUGCUAGCAUCUCAAAUAACAGUAAGAUUCCCAAUAGUUAACUUCAGAGUAAUUUUCUCAAAGGUAAUUUCUCCGAAGUCAUUGGAAUUGCUCUAUGUGCAGCUGAAAUCUUUCCUUUCAGUGAUAUUUACAUAACACAAAAAUUUGCUGUUUUAUGCAGAAAUAGUUUUCUAAUGGACCAGUUUUUAUUACUUUCCCUAAAAUACUUAUAGAAAGAAUUUAUCAUUUAACAAAGUUUGCCAGGAUAUCUGCUUUUCCCAGAAAUGCCAAAAAGGAUUUUUUAAAACGAUGCAUUGUCAUUUUAAUCUUGCUUCAUAUCCCAAAAGUUUGUAAAACAUCAUGACUGGGUGAAGGUCUGGAUUGCUUGGUUCUUUAUGUAGAUUUUAGUGCCUUGAAGCAAUAUGAUUAAACACAGCAAAUUCUGGAAUAAAAAGUAAUUCAUGUUUUCUGAACAUUUUUUUUUUCAGUAAUAGCUCAGUUUCCAUUAUUUCCUUGAACUCUUUCUAUAUAUUUCUUUCCUCAUCCUAUCUUUGCCAUGAAUAGCUUUUUCUCCUUUUUAUGUGUCUGAAGGAAGUGUCUGGUUUUGUACUUUACUGGUAAAUGUUAAAUUUCUCCUCUGCUGUAUUCCUUUUGACCUCACAUCAUCUUAACUUCCCUCAAACCAGUAAUUCCAAGUACAAAGAAAUACUAAGUUACAAUUUACUUAUGGUACUAAGCAAUUUGUUUAUACCUAUGAUAUGUUAAAACAAAACAAAACAAAACAAAAAUUGAAGCAAUGUAUGAAGGUCUUUUGGAAGGACUGAAAGCAUUUAUUUUUAAGUGUUUGCUUUAUUGUCCAUGAAAGUAAUAAAUUGAUGCCAGUUGUUACUGGAGUUUUUUCAGAGCCAAAUCCAGUUGUAGAAGUCCUAUGAUUUAUAUAACCCUGAGACUUGAAAUUAAUAUUGAGGUUAAUUGCUUUCAAGAGGUAGAACAAGAGCUAAAUUCAUGGACUCAGGAGCCAGAUUGCCUGGGUUUGAAUCAAUUUCUUCUCUGCCACUUUCUAGCUCUCAGAACUUGAACCACAUUGCUAUUCUAUGUUUGUUUUCUCAGUUAAUAAAAUGAAGAUAAUAAUAGUAUCCACUUUUAUUAACGUAAAGCAUUUAGAAGAAUUCUUGGUACUUGGUAAAUUAUAUGUGUUCCAUAUUAUAAAUUUCUAAAUUAUUAUUUUUAAAAUUAGGGUUUUCCCAGAAUGCACCUUAUCCCAUAUACAGGUGCAUAGAAUAACUUACCUAGAGGAUUGCUCUUUUUCUUUUGUAAGAAUGAUAUUAAAAACUUAAGUUGUCAAUUCUAAACAUGGAUGUAUUUAAUAAUUUCUAUACUGUUUAAACUUUUUUUCCUGUUUUGAUUACACAGCAUCUUAGAUGGAAGUAUCUGGAAACUCUUCACAAAUAAAUGUUUCUUUACUAAAGUCUUCUUUUUAAAUUAAAUUUAAAUGAGAGUUAGUCAGUCUACUUAAGUAUAGAGGCCAUUUUCACCUGCAAGAGCUAGAAAAGUGAAAAAAAAAAAAAAGAGUAAGAGAAAUUUGGAAAGAGAUGGAAGUGGGUCUUACAGAAAAUAAAGCUGAUAAUCUCUCCAUCAGUAGUUCCUUUUUGUUCAUUCAGCCAAUCUUUGUUUAAAUAUUUUAUUUUAUUUAUUUUAUUUUUUUACAGCCACACCUGUGGAAUAUGGAAGUUCCCAGGCCAGAGGUUGAAUCUGAGAUGCCCUGUUGGCCUAUGGCACAGCCAUAGCCAUGCCAGAGCCAGAUCUGAGCUGCAUCUUUAACCUGCACUGCAGCUUAUGGCAAUGCAGGAUCCUUAACCCACUGAGCGAGAACAGGGAUUGAACCAAUAUCCUCAUAGAGACAGUGUUGGAUCCUUAACAUGCUGAACAAAAAUGGGAACUCCUCCACCAAUAUUUUUUGAAAUGUUUUUUAGGAAAUGCAUUGCAAACACUACUUCCCGUUCUCAUGAUGUCUGUUGUUGAAUAGCAACUCAUUGUGGUAAAUAUUGCUAUGGUAUCUAGCACAUUCUAUCAGAAAGAAGUCUUGCUAAAGAUGGAAUUCUUGGUUCAGUCCAAAGAGGAGUUCUUCAGAUUAGAAAUUUAUGAAAGCUAUGAAAGAAGUUGUUGAGAGGGAUAAACCCAAAUUUUACUCUGAGAAUGAUAUAAACUUUAAUACCGCCAUCCUAAUAGCUAAUAUUUUAUUAUGUGCUAAAUACAAUUUGUGCAUGCUAAAAACAAUUCUAUAAGUUUAUUUCAUUUUACAGUUAUUAAAUUGAAACUUAAAAGGGCAAAGGAGUUUGUUUAGGGUCAGGUGGCCUCAGAGAGAUCUAUCUGACACCAUAUCUAAAUCUAUGAUUGAAGAGAAUGAAAAGAAAGAAUAUAUAUACAUGUGUGAAUCACUUUUCUGUAUAUCUGAAACUAACUUUGUAAAGCAACUGUAUUUCAAUAAAUCUUUUUUUAAAAAAAUGCUUGGUAGAAUCACUACGGAUAAAAAACAAAGCACAUCCCAGUCAGGUCUAUCACUCCAUGACCUUUUGCCCUGUUCAGGGUCCUUCAUUUGAAAUUCUCAUUCAUUUAUUCAUUUGUUUAUUUACUUUGUCACCCUGAUAAAAUCCUGAACAUCACAAAAGAGCAGCAGGUACCCAAUAGGCCAUAUUUUAUUAAAUGAAUAAAAAUUUAAUGUUAGUUCAUAUAAUCCUUAAAAUAAUUCUAGAUCUUAAUCAUUAUUUUACUAUUAUUUUCUUUUUACAAGUAGGAAAACAGAAACAGGUGGGUAGAAACAGAAGACCCAAGGAUAUUCUCUAACCUGUGGAUUAAAAGCUAGAUUUAAUUUUACCCAAAGCUCAUUCACUUUCUUAUAUCCACAGUUAUAUCCGUAAUGGCCUCUCCCCAGACACACCAUUGAAACUGUAACUGAGCAGGACCCCAGGAGGCCUUCCCAGAGUGGAACCCCAUCAUGUCCUCCAUUUGCCUUUUUAUCUAUAGAAAAGCUUUAGUCAAAGAACCAAGUUAAUCAGAGAAG
rnacentral:lncRNA from 1 species